AAAACUGGAGGCUCAAGUCAGUGAAUUGAGAAAGUAUAAUGAAGAUCUCUCAAACCAGUUGAAAAAAGAGUCGAUGGAAGGAUUGGACAAGGAAGAAGAUUUAUAUUUAGAACCAGAUUGGUGGAACCUAUAUUCGAUAGUGCAACAAAUGAUCAAUUGGAUGUGCCAGAGGAACUAGUAACUUUUUAGAAUUUUGUUAAGUAAUUUUUAGAUAGGUAACAAUUGUGUAUUUGUAAGGAUGCUGCACAAAUAGGAGUGGGGCUAUGUAAAAUAGAUAUUAGUUUGUUUCUGUAAGAUAUUGAUAAAAUAGACUAAUAAUCCAUAGAAUAGUCAGUUCAAAAGGAUGGAUGAUUGAUUUAGUUAUUAAAAGUGAUUAAUUACAAAAUUAUGGUUAGAAUAUAGGAAUCAAGAGCAGUUAUAUAAGAAUUGUAGAAAUUUAUUGGGUACUAGACUGUGAUAGUCAUGAGUCGGGAUAAGCUUGGUGCUAUCUCUUUGUUUCUUUGUUUUUUCUGUUGUUGAAGACUAAUGAAUAGUUUUUGAAUAUUGAGAAGUGAGUCUGUGGAAUAAAUCAGAGAUUGAUUUAUGAGUUAUUGAUUAUGUAAUUGGAGUAUUGAGUGAUUGAAUUAUAUGAGGAGUUAUUAGAAGAUUAUGAUUGUUAUUUAUUGAGAGUUGUGUGUAUUUUGGACAAAGGAAGUUGGUGAUUAUAGAGAUUCUAUGAAUUCAAAUUGAUUGGAGUGAAGCCUAUUAUUUCUGGUGU
rnacentral:lncRNA from 1 species